rnacentral:sRNA from 1 species
AACUCCAAACUAGGACAAGAGUUUUAAAGUUCAUCUCCUCUCUCUUUUCUCUCAAACCAAGACGCAGAAAGAAAAAAAGAAUUCUCCACAAGAUGAUGAAGACGAAGAGGAGACAUGAAAGAGCACUUACAUGUACGUACAUAUUGGCAUAUUUAUACGCAUAAUAUCCACUAUAUAUAUACACUCUCACCGGUAAUGAAUGCGAAGAGAUGCAUUAGAGGCUACUUCGGUGUUUCGCCGGGAAAAUAAAAGUUAUCAUGAGUCGUCGGCGUACAUGGGAAGGCCAGGCAUUUUUGGUUUAAUUUUUCUCUCUCUUUCUAUCAUAUUAUGUAAUUCUUUUUAUGAAAAAAUGUCAUAUUUUCAUAAAGUUUCUAUUGUUGUUAUUCAGAUUAUAUCGCAAACAAAUUCGUAAUAAGAUGAAACGAUGGAAAUGUUUUCCUACUUUCUGUGUUUUUCAUCUUCUUCCUACAACAUUC